rnacentral:lncRNA from 1 species
AGAGCCCCGCCUGUCCUCGGCCUACCGCGGCGAGCAGGCAUUCCGGGUCAGACCGGCGCGGGGCGCUGCGGCCCAACUCCUUAGUAGGACGACGUGACUCGAGGGGCCGGAGGACGGAGGUGGGAGCCCGGGCUAGAGGGUGGAGGCUGGGGAGGUUGCCUGGUCACUCUGGCGCUCCGCUGCCGGGGGCAUCCUCCGGCCCAGCAAAGGUGCAGCCUGGGAAGAAGGCGUCAGCACCACCCAGAGAAGAGGAGAGGGGACUUGGCACGCCUCAGGAAGGAAAAAAGGAAGGCUCUCGGGACCACCCAAUAAGCAACCGGGAAACCACAUACCAUGGACAGUGCUCGGGGAAUUUCGGCUCCUCCUCAUCCCUGGAGGUUCCAGGGAUCUGGCAGAGAAAGAAGCCCAGUCUCACAGCAAUGACUCCUGAACAUCCUUUGCAAACACUAUUUAGGACAGAUGGACUGAAGUAGGCCCUGGGGAGAGUUGGGGGCAUUUCCGGAGGGAACAUCCCAAAACUCAGCAGAGGAGGAGAGGGAGCUUUUGUUGGUCACCUGGAACCACUACCAAUCCAUGUUCAUGUCAAAUUAAAUGAUCACUUUGAAGU